UCAAAGCAGAUGAUAAAAACAGUGUACACACUGUUUUAUGUUUGUCAUUUAAGGUUAUAAUGCAGGUGCUGGAGCAUCUGCUGGCACAAACACAAAAGGUUAUGGAGCAGGAGCUGGUGUUCCAAACAGACAUGGUGCUAAACCCAAUGGAUAUGGUGCCAGUGCAGGGGGAUAUUCAAAUGGAGGAGGAGCUAAAGCAAACAAACCAGGUUAUGGAGCAGGAGGCUACACUGUCCCUGGACUCAGCAAUGGAUACGG